GUGCUCAUGUCAGCAGUCCCUACUGUGAAUUUGAACCAUAUAGAGAUUAGCAUGGCCUUUGUGCAAGAACAUCAUGAAAAUUGGCUGAGGUUUUCCAUAAUUUU
rnacentral:snRNA from 1 species